GACGGAGGGUGCAAACGUUGUUCGGAAUUACUGGGCGUAAAGCGCACGUAGGCGGUGGUGCAUGUCAGAUGUGAAAGCCCUGGGCUUAACCUAGGAAUUGCAUUUGAAACUGCGCCGCUAGAGACCGGAAGAGGGUAGUGGAAUUCCCAGUGUAGAGGUGAAAUUCGUAGAUAUUAGGAAGAACACCAGUGGCGAAGGCGGCUCACUGGCCGGUACUGACGCUGAGAUACGAAAGCGUGGGGAGCAAACAGG
rnacentral:rRNA from 1 species